rnacentral:rRNA from 1 species
UACGUAGGGGGCAAGCGUUAUCCGGAUUUACUGGGUGUAAAGGGGGCGCAGACGGCGAUGCAAGCCAGGAGUGAAAGCCCGGGGCCCAACCCCGGGACUGCCCUUGGAACUGCGUGGCUGGAGUGCAGGAGGGGCAGGCGGAAUUCCUGGUGUAGCGGUGAAAUGCGUAGAUAUCAGGAGGAACACCGGUGGCGAAGGCGGCCUGCUGGACUGCAACUGACGUUGAGGCCCGAAAGCGUGGGGAGCAAACAGG